rnacentral:rRNA from 1 species
CUACGGGGCGCUCCAGUGGGGAAUAUUGGGCAAUGGGCGCAAGCCUGACCCAGCAACGCCGCGUGAGGGAAGAAGGUUUUCGGAUUGUAAACCUCUGUCCUUGGGGACGAAGAAGUGACGGUACCCAAGGAGGAAGCUCCGGCUAACUACGUACCAGCAGCCGCGGUAAUACGUAGGGAGCAAGCGUUGUCCGGAAUUACUGGGCGUAAAGGGUGCGUAGGCGGCAUAUUAAGUCAGGUGUGAAAUACUCGGGCUCAACCCGGGGGCUGCAUUUGAAACUGAUAUGCUUGAGUGUGAGAGAGGAAAGUGGAAUUCCUAGUGUAGCGGUGGAAUGCGUAGAUAUUAGGAGGAACACCAGUGGCGAAGGCGACUUUCUGGCUCAUAACUGACGCUGAGGCACGAAAGCGUGGGGAGCAAACAGGAUUAGAUACCCUUGUAGUC